GACGAACCGUGCAAACGUUGUUCGGAAUCACUGGGCUUAAAGGGCGCGUAGGCGGGUUCGUAAGUCUGUGGUGAAAGCCCCCAGCUUAACUGGGGAAGUGCCAUGGAUACUGCGAGUCUUGAGGAGGGUAGGGGCAUCUGGAACACUGGGUGGAGCGGUGAAAUGCGUUGAUAUCCAGUGGAACUCCGGUGGCGAAGGCGAGGUGCUGGACCCUUUCUGACGCUGAUGCGCGAAAGCGUGGGGAGCGAACAGG
rnacentral:rRNA from 1 species